ensembl:lncRNA
UAAAUUUAUAACAGAAUACAAAUGUUGAUUAUACUCCGUCCAUUUCAUCAAUUCCACUAUGUUUGGUCAUUUAUCCCCUAUGAUAAUGAGUGGGUGUGUCCAAACCUAUCCAGCCCUUUGAUUGGUCCAGACAGUUUGUCUUAGUUUUUACAUCUCAUUUUUAAGAAAUAAAACGAGCACCAAAAGUAAACUAGUCAAAUUUUAUUGGCACAAUUUCCAUGAAAUGAGAUCAGUUACCGCUGUAAAUCAGAUUAAUAACAAAACAUUUGACAAUAUAUCUGUGUAAAACGUCCACUCUUAUCGUAAAGUUCCCUCAUUUUAGACUUAUGUGAUUAUAAAUUAGCACCCAGUUUUAAGCAAAAUGAUUUUACAGUGUGUAUUUUACCUUUUAAUCAGAGAGAAGCCUGAAAUAUCGGCGUGUUCCUGUUAUAUAUAUGAACUUUAAUCACAGCCCGACAUCGUUCUUAUGUCUGUAAUUCAGUUCCUGCUUUCCUGCUUUGUGUAAUAACCCUUUAAUACACUGACCCCCCCCCCCCUCACUUUUAAACACUAAACACACACGUUAGAACAUUAUUGUCAAGCGUACUGAUUUAACUACAAAUAAAAUCACAAAAAAGUCAUUUACCACAUUGCAGUUCUGUAUUAUGUAUAUAAUGUAUAUAAUGUAAGCAAAUUUUUAUUGAAAAUGUCAUUUCUAGACACUUUUUACUUGUUUUUGCGUUUUAAAUGCUCUUGUUCUAUCGCUCUUUCAUAGAUAUAAGUGCUUAAAAUGAUCUACCAACAGAACAAGAUAUCUUGCUAAAAUGUGAUUGUUUGCAGUGAAAACGAUUUCAGAGGCCGAGAUCAAUCAUUUCCUACUUCCUAUAACCAUCAUCAUCAUCAUCAUCAUCAUCAUCAUCAUCAUCAUGAGGUGCUCAUUAACACUAGACACGUUCUCCGUCUGCUUUUUCGCGUAAUCCCUGCUGAAGCUGGCGGUACUCCGCAGUGUUAGUGUCCUCGUGCCGGUCCUGAGUCACCCACUCGUCCAGGCGCGCGCGCUGGUUCUGAUCCAGGAUUCCCAUGCGGCUGUACUCCGACACCAGGUUUCUGUAUCCUGCUUUGUAGUAGCCUCGGAUACCGUCAUCGGACAACACGUGACUCUGAGACAGAACGCCUUCACCUGGACAUACACGCAAGAAUCUUAUCAGCUGCAGCAACACGACAGCUCUUUUACUCUCAGACCAUCAGUUACGCCGUGUUUAACGCCGUGUUGUAUUCCUUGUCUUGUCCACU